rnacentral:miRNA from 14 species
GAAAUGCCUCCAUGAGACCCAGCUGUAAGGCAUUUUCCCAAUUAGUGAUCAAGGGUGGAAGGGCCAUUGUGGGUGGUACCAUCCCUGGGCUGGUACUCUUG